rnacentral:rRNA from 1 species
GACGAACGCUGGCGGCGUGCUUAACACAUGCAAGUCGAACGGAGUGGCGAACGGGUGAGUAACACGUGGGUGAUCUGCCUUGCACUUCGGGAUAAGCUUGGGAAACUGGGUCUAAUACCGGAUAGUGCAAGAUGAGCUCGGGGCCUAUCAGCUUGUUGGUGGGGUAAUGGCCUACCAAGGAGUCGACGGGUAGCCGGCCUGCGAGGGGGUACGGCCACCAUGGGACUAAGAUACGGCCCAGACUCGUACGGGAGGCAGCAGUGGGGAAUAUUGCACAAUGGGGGGAAGCCUGAUGCAGCGACGCCGCGUGGGGAAUGAAGGCCUUCGGGUGAUAAACUCCUUUCGACGGGGACGCGGUACCUGUAUAGAAAGCACCGGCUAACUACGUGCCAGCAGCCGCGGUAAUAC